CAAUAUGCACCUUCGCGUAAAAAGGUUAGUGACUUUUUCAGACAAGAAUAAAAAAAGUGAUGCUGAAUAAAAUAAAAUAAAAUGCUCAAAGAAGGGCAAGUCACUCUUAGAGGUUGCAUUGAGCUUAUACAAAGAGAAUAAGCAUGAAUGAAUCAAAAACCUUUCCUUUGACCAUGAUAGGUAAGGGGAAACAAGGAAAAGAGAAGAACAACCUUGGUGCAUGUAUUCUAUACUGUGAUACUUCAN
rnacentral:lncRNA from 1 species